UCUCAUAAAAUAUAAAAGGUGCAGUUCAUGGCACCCCAAAACAAUUAACAAUAGCAACAUCAAAGACCACUGAUCACAGAUGACCAUAACAGACA